rnacentral:rRNA from 1 species
AGUCGAGCGGCAGCGACUUAACUGAACCUUCGGGGAACGUUAAGGGCGGCGAGCGGCGGACGGGUGAGUAAUGCCUGGGGAUAUGCCCUGAUGUGGGGGAUAACUAUUGGAAACGAUAGCUAAUACCGCAUAAUCUCUUCGGAGCAAAGAGGGGGACCUUCGGGCCUCUCGCGUCAGGAUUAGCCCAGGUGGGAUUAGCUUGUUGGUGAGGUAAUGGCUCACCAAGGCAACGAUCCCUAGCUGGUCUGAGAGGAUGAUCAGCCACACUGGAACUGAGACACGGUCCAGACUCCUACGGGAGGCAGCAGUGGGGAAUAUUGCACAAUGGGGGAAACCCUGAUGCAGCCAUGCCGCGUGUGUGAAGAAGCUUCGGGUUGUAAGGCACUCUCAGUAGGGAGGAAGGUAGUGUAGUUAACACCUGCAUUAUUUGACGUUACCUACAGAAGAAGCACCGGCUAACUCCGUGCCAGCAGCCGCGGUAAUACGGAGGGUGCGAGCGUUAAUCGGAAUUACUGGGCGUAAAGCGCAUGCA